rnacentral:rRNA from 1 species
ACUCGACUCCGUGAAGUCGGAAUCGCUAGUAAUCGCAAAUCAGAAUGUUGCGGUGAAUACGUUCCCGGGCCUUGUACACACCGCCCGUCACACCAUGGGAGUGGGUUGCACCAGAAGUAGAUAGCUUAACCUUCGGGAGGGCGUUUACCACGGUGUGAUUCAUGACUGGGGUGAAGUCGUAACAAGGUAACCCUAGGGGAACCUGGGGUUGGAUCACCUCCUUACCUUAA